GUAGCAUGGCGGCUUCCUGUUUUCCCAAGGGUUGGGCGCGCCUGUGCCCAAUGACCGUGGAGGACCUGGGCGAUGGAAGACGGUGCUGGCCUCCUGCCUUAGAAGAGUGUAUUAGUGAACUUGAAAAGAGGAUUAGAGUUAUUGACGUGGCUCCCUGACACUUUCUAGGAAAAGAUACCACUCUCAAGGCUCAGAAGUAUAUUCUGUGUCUUUCCUGCUCAGAGAUUUAUGUUUCUCCUUCACUUUCAGGAUGAGCCCGACGCUGUCUGGCGUAAGAAUCUAAACUCCACCUCAUGUCCUGCCACUCGAUCCACUAAGACCACUGUACUUCCUGCCUUCAGCCAUCUCAGACUGGAUUUUUCAUCAUUAGCAGGAAUAACUUGCAGAAGUGUUAAGAGGUUCAGUCCUAGAGAUGAUUCAACUGCCUUCUUUUUCCUUC